rnacentral:rRNA from 1 species
ACGGACGCUGGCGGCGUGCCUAAUACAUGCAAGUAGAACGCUGAAGCUUGGUGCUUGCACCGAGCGGAUGAGUUGCGAACGGGUGAGUAACGCGUAGGUAACCUGCCUGGUAGCGGGGGAUAACUAUUGGAAACGAUAGCUAAUACCGCAUAAGAGUAGAUGUUGCAUGACAUUUGCUUAAAAGGUGCAAUUGCAUCACUACCAGAUGGACCUGCGUUGUAUUAGCUAGUUGGUGAGGUAACGGCUCACCAAGGCAACGAUACAUAGCCGACCUGAGAGGGUGAUCGGCCACACUGGGACUGAGACACGGCCCAGACUCCUACGGGAGGCAGCAGUAGGGAAUCUUCGGCAAUGGACGGAAGUCUGACCGAGCAACGCCGCGUGAGUGAAGAAGGUUUUCGGAUCGUAAAGCUCUGUUGUAAGAGAAGAACGAGUGUGAGAGUGGAAAGUUCACACUGUGACGGUAUCUUACCAGAAAGGGACGGCUAACUACGUG